rnacentral:misc_RNA from 1 species
UUUUGCGGGGGAAGCUGGCCAUUGGAAAAGGCUGUAACCUCUGUAUCUGCUAAUAUAGUGUCCUCUUCCUUAAAUUCCCCUCUUAAGAUACCCUUGGCAAGUUCAUUUUCAACAUACUGCUGAAUCACCCGCUUGACUGGCCUAGCUCCAUAGUUGGGGUCAUAUCCAAGACUCCCUAAAAGCUCGACAGCUGCCUCACUCACCUGCAUCCUCAUCUUCCUGUCUGCAAUCCUCUGCUGCACGCGUUCCAACUGUAAUCUGACAAUGCUGUUUAUCUGAUUGCGAUCCAGCGGCUGGAAAACUAUGUACUCAUCCACCCUGUUCAUGAAUUCAGGUCGAAAGACUGAUCUUGCAGCUUCCAACACCCUUUGCUUGAUAGUUUCGUAAGCUACCUCCUUUGGCAAGUCAUCAUCUGUGUCAAGUAUGUAUUGUGAACCCACGUUGGAAGUCAUGAUGAUGACAGUGUUGGUGAAACUAACAGUGCGACCCUGCGAAUCCGUCACCCUUCCAUCAUCUAAGAUCUGAAGGAAGACAUUGAACACAUCAGCAUGGGCCUUCUCUAUCUCAUCAAAGAGAAUAACUGCAUAUGGCCUCCUUCGAAUUGUCUCUGUCAACUGUCCCCCCUCCUCAUAUCCUACAUAACCAGGUGGGGCACCUAUCAACCGUGAAACUGCAUGCUUUUCCAUGUAUUCACUCAUGUCAAUUCGCACAAGGGCUUCUUCAGUAUUGAACAUAUAGGAAGCUAGUGCUUUAGCUAGUUCUGUUUUUCCAACACCAGUAGGACCCAUGAACAUAAAGCUAGCUAUUGGACGCCGAGGAUCUGAAAGACCAGCACGAGAUCUUAGAUCUCUGAAUUGCCUCAGCUACUGAUUUCACUGCAGGAUCCUGACCCACCACACGUUUGUGCAGCUCUUCCUCCAAAUGUAGAAGCUUCUCUUUCUCUGAUUGUUUGAGCUUUGAAACAGGGAUGCCAGUCCAUUUGCUAACAACUUCAGCAAUAUCGUCUCCUGUAACUUCUUCUCUAAGCAUGGACUUUCCAGAUUUCAUAUACUCAUCCAACUCUUUCUCAGCACUUUCAAGCUGGCGUUGCAAAGAGUUCAGGCUGCCAUAUUUCAGUUCAGCAGCACGAUUAAGAUCAUACUCACGCUCAGCCUGCUGAAUCUCAAGAUUUACCCUGUCUAUCUCUUCCUUAAUUGACUGAAUGCGAGUCAUGACUGUCUUCUCGUGCUCCCAUUGCUCUGUCAGCUCCGCUUGUUUCUUUUUCAACAGGGACAAUUCAGCCUCAAGACGGCUCAACCGAUCUUUCGAAGCUCUAUCUGUAUCAUUUGUAAGAGAUAGCUUCUCCAUCUCCAAUUUCAAUACUGAACGGUCGAUUUCAUCAAGAGCAGUAGGCUUCGAAGUGAUCUCCAUUUUCAGUUUUGCUGCUGCUUCAUCAACUAGAUCAAUAGCUUUGUCAGGUAAAAAUCUUCCACUAAUGUAACGGUCAGAGAGAAUUGCAGCUUCCACAAGUGCACUGUCAGAAAUGCGAACUCCAUGAUGCAGCUCAUAUCUUUCACGUAGUCCCCGAAGAAUGGAAAUUGUAUCCUCCACUGAAGGUUGAUCAACAUAAACUUGCUGGAAACGACGCUCCAAGGCUGGGUCCUUCUCAAUAUAUUUUCGAUAUUCAUCCAGUGUUGUUGCACCAAUACACCUUAACUCUCCCCGACCAAGCAUUGGCUUCAAGAGAUUGCCCGCAUCCAUUGCACCAUUUGUAGCACCUGCCCCGACAACUGUGUGUAUCUCAUCAAUAAAAAGGAUAAUCUGACCAUCUGACUCUGUAACUUCCUUAAGUACAGCCUUCAGUCUAUCUUCAAAUUCUCCCCGAUAUUUUGCCCCAGCAAUGAGUGCACCCAUGUCAAGUGAUAUUAGCUUCCUGUUCAUCAGAGCUUGAGGUACAUCCCCUUGCACAAUUCUCUGGGCCAGUCCUUCAGAAAUUGCAGUUUUCCCAACACCUGGUUCACCAAUCAGCACAGGAUUGUUCUUUGUUCUCCUAGAGAGAAUCUGNNNNNNNNNNNNAUGACAGGGUCAAGCUUUCCUGCUUUUGCCAUAGCUGUCAAAUCUUUUCCAUAUUUCUCAAGUGCUUCAUACUUCCCUUCAGGAUCUUGGUCUAUAACUGAUUGGCGUCCCCUUAUUGAUUCUAUUGCAGAUCUCAGUGUCUGAAGAGAGAUC